UUAGGCAGCGACAUCCGCUUGUUCAUUCUCGUUCAGGACUUGCCCAUGAGCAUUUUGCCUUGGCUCUUUCYGGUACACUGUGUUGCAUGCCAACAUCGAUGGAAUUUUGUUGUCAGUUGUCCCUAUUUUCACCUUGUGCUGCUCAUGUGGUGCGGGGUGAACAACGUAGUGCCUCGUGAUGCCCUCACCAUCAUCACUUCUGGUGCUGUGGUUUUGGGCGACACUGGAUACUCGAAUUCUCGGAUACAGAACGUUGUGAUGGGUGUAUGGUGUCUAGUACUCCAUAACCCCAGAUUGAGCGCUCUCGGUUUACGUCAACGGCUCUGUGUGCCCAUCAAUUGUCCGAUUUUUCGGCAUAAUUAAGAUGGGUCAUCUGGGUGCCACUGUUGACGAGAAGAGCGUCGAAGACAAACUGUCGUACCCCGUUACGUAGAUGUCCUGAGGUAUAUCCAACAUGGCUCGGGCGGGGGUAAAAUGCUGACAAUUUGAAGGAAUGCUACCUGG
rnacentral:misc_RNA from 1 species